rnacentral:lncRNA from 1 species
CUCAGAGCCCUGCUAGCCCCAGUCUGGGCUCUUCUCUGCCUCUAUGUAACCUGAGACCUGACUCAAUCUCACCGUGCCUCAGUGUGAGAGCACUCUGACCCUCCCACGAGACAUUGUGAGGAUUAAUGACAUCAAUCAAGUAGGAUCUGCUCUUGAGAAGAUGCUAACCUGUAUGAGUAGGUCAGUGUGCAUCAAGGAAACCACAUACCCACCAAAAUAAGGGCCUCACUGGCACCAAGGUGACACCAUCAGACAAGAGGCCAGUGGCUGGAUGUUUGAGACACAGGCGGUACAAAAAAUACUCACCGUUUUCUCAAGAUUUUGGUUCCCUUUGAGAUCAGAAUUUGGUUGCUUUCCAUAUCCUACAAGCUACCCUCUGAAGGUAGGAAUGUCAGGGCCAUCUGCCUAAUGAUGGGCAACCAGAAGGGCAAGCUUAAAGUCUAAAACCUGCUUUCCAGCUAACAUGUCCUGAAAGACCACUACCUUCAUUUAAUAGAAAAAUACCUCACUCUCUACAGAGCCCUAGAUGUUAUCUUCCUUCUGGGAAACCCAUGUGCCCCGACCUUCUUUAUGGCUUUUGGGAUAGGUUGGCUGGGGAACUCUGCUCCAUAUCAUCCUUAAUCAAGGAGCCAGAGCUCAAGAAGGUCAAGGAACUCCUGAUCUCCACUUUAAGGCUUCUUAACGUGAAGCUGGUGUCCUGCAAGUGA